CAGAGUCUGUCAGCGUCUGCCAGGAGGUGAGUAGAACUAAACCUAAUCUUUUAUUUUAAGAAAUUAAAUGUCUAAUGCAUCUUUUUUUUUUUAAUGAAAUCUAAUGCCUAAAGCAUAUGCAUGCAUCAUGUUUAUAUGUAAUAGGAUGAUUGCACUAGUUUCACGAAUGUGACGCAUUGCAUAAAUUGUUGAUGUUGUGAUGAGAUGGGUGGACCAAGGCGACCUCAAUAGCCCGUAAGUCUGUCAUUGAGUCCUUAUUAGUCGGGCGAGUACAUGUAGGAAAGCCCAAUGAGAGCUCCUUCGGGGCCGAGUUAUGACAGAGGGAAUGUUGGGGUCAUGUCUAACCCUGAGGGGAAGGACGUUUCGAGAACCCUCUAAAAUCACCCGCAAGAGGAAGAGAUUGCUAGCGUGAACUCAAGCGGGGAUGAAAGGUUUGAUGUGUAUUCGUUGUGAUUUGACGCAUUUCAUGAAAGCAUGAAA
rnacentral:lncRNA from 1 species